rnacentral:rRNA from 1 species
AGAGUUUGAUCAUGGCUCAGAACGAACGUUGGCGGCGUGGAUUAGGCAUGCAAGUCGAACGAAUCCCCGGGGGCAACUCCGGGGGGAAGUGGCGAAAGGGGCAGUAAGGCAUGGGUAACCUACCCCGGGGACCGGGAUAGCCCUCCUAACGGAGGGGUAAUACCGGGCGACCUGGCGAGGCGGCAUCGUCUUGCCAGCAAAUGAAUCUCGCCCUGGGAGGGGCUCAUGUGCUAUUAGCUUGUUGGCGGGGUAACGGCCCACCAAGGCGAAGAUGGCUAGCGGGUGUGAGAGCACGACCCGCGCCACUGGCACUGUGACACUGGCCAGACUCCUACGGGAGGCUGCAGUCGAGGAUCUUCGGCAAUGGGCGCAAGCCUGACCGAGCGACGCCGCGUGUGCGACGAAGGCCUUCGGGUUGUAAAGCACUGUCGAGGGGGAGGAAAGCCCGCAAGGGUCUGACCUAUCCCUGGAGGAAGCACGGGCUAAGUUCGUGCCAGCAGCCGCGGUAAUAC